CAGCGGGGGGGUUGUAACAGCAGCCAGGGGUUUCCUAUAAGCUCGGGGUUUUGCGUGCUGAGCCGCCUUUUCUUUCCGGGACAGCUCCUUUCCCAGCCGGCAGGGAAGUUACAGGCACCAGGCUGUGCCUUGUUAUGUGCGGGCAUCCUUUUUCUUAGCUCUGUGUGCCGUUCUUGUAGAAAAGCUGUUGUUCCGUGUUACCUUUUCCAGACCUGACAAAGCAAGCAUUCCCAAUUUAAGAGCAGCUUGAGUGGCAAUUUGUGGCUUUUCAAAAGUAUUUGAAUCGUUCCAGUGUAAAAUAUAAACAUAGAUGAACAGAUUUCCUUCCCCUUUAGAAGGGAUGUUGUUGUUUAUCGAUGUUAUGCAGAAGUCCAGUACUUGUAAAUUUUCGAGAAGUAUUUAUGCAUGAAGGUGAAGAGUAAAGGUGAUCUUAAAAUGUGUAUGUGAGCCAUCAGGAGGAUGCCGCAACACCCAUCUUCUUGCUUGCCUCAGUAAGGACUUGGUGCCCAACACCAUGAAAGCGUCCUUUGCAUCUGUGAAAUCCCAGGUGUAUUAAAGGAGAGCUUAAUUCAUGGUAAGCUAGAGCUUUUCUUGAACCCCCCCUCUUGGUUUGGGGGGUUCACCGCUGCCCUUGCCAUGGCCUGAGCUCAUGUUCGUGCUUGUGGCUGGAUUUUGAUUUCCCCCUCUCAGGUCCUGGUCAUAACAUUGCUACAGCGGGGCUGCACUGGUCAGGUUGUCCUUCAACUCAGAGGCCAUAAUGAGAGUAAUUCAGUUCACAUCACGUUACGUUUGAUUGCCCAAAAGCUCAGAGAGUGGAGAUCAUCCUAAGUCCAGCCUCUGCCUGAUGUAUUGUGAGGAUUCUGUCACCUGGAUAUUUCGGCAGGGAAAGCAAACUGAAGUUGACAGCAGUUUGCUGAUGCUGUGCCUUAAAGGGCAGUGAGAGACCAGAAGGAGCAAAUUUGGCCUUGGUGUUGGAGAAAGAGCAGCGUGCGUUUGGCCUCAGCUUCCUAAAGCAGGGCCCCUGGUACCAUUCUGAGGGAUCUGUAUCACCUGCAGAGGGCUGGCAGAUGGCAAGUGGCACCUCAGAGAAACCCACAACCUUCUUGAGCAGCACCUCGUAACAAGUGGCAGUGAGGAAGAAGACAACAUUAUAGGCCCAAAGCCUGCCAAAGGACCAGUGGAGUCUGAUGUGACUAAAGAAUUUGAACACAGAGCUCAGAGAAUGAAGGAAAAACUUACUUCAGCAGACAGUUUCCCAGGCAAUCAUGGAUGACAGAACUUCCACCUGGAUUGAAAAGCUUUGGGUUUGGCCCAAGAACAGUCAGGAGAGGAGCUGAUGACAAAUCAGGCAUUGGAUCUGUUUGGACAGAUACUCCAGCUGACAGAGAGAGAAAAGCCAAGAAGGUAACAGAUAGUGAGGAAGAAGACCACCAUUAUCUAUGGAUAAUGAAGAAACUGUGUUACCUGGAAGAGACAAGAGACUUGCUGAGCAGGUGACUCCCUACAAUGAGUCCAAGAGAUCAGAAUCUCUCCUGGACGUACAUCAGAAAAAGCUGAAGAGCAAAGCAUCAGAAGAGCAAACCUCAGGAGAGAAGGCCGUUUGACCGAGAGCAGGAUCUCAAAGUUGAUCAAUCUGAUGAAGCACAAAAAAAGAAGCCCUUGUAUUUGUAUCUCUUGACUUUUCUUAUUCGAUAUGAGUAUUGUGAAAUCAAAAUUUUUUAAUAAGAUAAAAGUAUGAACCUUUUUGGAAGACAAUUAAAAUUUCAAUGCUUACUUUUAAAAGUAUUUUUCUGUAAAUAUUUAUAUGCAAAAUAAAUAUUCUGAUGUUUAAUACUCUACUGUGGAGAAUCGUGUAUUAAAGCUAAACUGAUAGAGGAAA